AGUGAACGCUGGCGGUAGGCCUAACACAUGCAAGUCGAACGGCAGCACAGUAAGAGCUUGCUCUUACGGGUGGCGAGUGGCGGACGGGUGAGGAAUACAUCGGAAUCUACUUUUUCGUGGGGGAUAACGUAGGGAAACUUACGCUAAUACCGCAUACGACCUACGGGUGAAAGCAGGGGAUCUUCGGACCUUUCGCGAUUGAAUGAGCCGAUGUCGGAUUAGCUAGUUGGCGGGGUAAAGGCCCACCAAGGCGACGAUCCGUAGCCGGUCUGAGAGGAUGAUCAGCCACACUGGAACUGAGACACGGUCCAGACUCCUACGGGAGGCAGCAGUGGGGAAUAUUGGACAAUGGGCGCAAGCCUGAUCCAGCCAUACCGCGUGGGUGAAGAAGGCCUUCGGGUUGUAAAGCCCUUUUGUUGGGAAAGAAAAGCAGCAGGUUAAUACCCCGCUGUUCUGACGGUACCCAAAGAAUAAGCACCGGCUAACUUCGUG
rnacentral:rRNA from 1 species